AACGCGAAGAACCUUACCUGGGCUCGAAAUGCAGUGGACCGGGGUAGAAAUAUCCCUUCCCCUUAAAAGGCUGCUGCAUAGGUGCUGCAUGGCUGUCGUCAGCUCGUGUCGUGAGAUGUUGGGUUAAGUCCCGCAACGAGCGCAACCCUUAUUGCCAGUUGCCAUCAUUCAGUUGGGCACUCUGGCGAAACCGCCCUAGAUAAUGGGGAGGAAGGUGGGGAUGACGUCAAGUCCUCAUGGCCUUUAUGUCCAGGGCUACACACGUGCUACAAUGGCCGGUACAAACCGUCGCAAACCCGUGAGGGGGAGCUAAUCGGAAAAAGCCGGCCUCAGUUCGGAUUGGAGUCUGCAACUCGACUCCAUGAAGCUGGAAUCGCUAGUAAUCGCAGAUCAGAACGCUGCGGUGAAUACGUUCCCGGGCCUUGUACACACCGAGACGUA
rnacentral:rRNA from 1 species